rnacentral:rRNA from 2 species
GAGUUUGAUCCUGGCUCAGAUUGAACGCUGGCGGCAGGCCUAACACAUGCAAGUCGAACGGUAACAGGAAGAAGCUUGCUUCUUUGCUGACGAGUGGCGGACGGGUGAGUAAUGUCUGGGAAACUGCCUGAUGGAGGGGGAUAACUACUGGAAACGGUAGCUAAUACCGCAUAACGUCGCAAGACCAAAGAGGGGGACCUUCGGGCCUCUUGCCAUCGGAUGUGCCCAGAUGGGAUUAGCUAGUAGGUGGGGUAACGGCUCACCUAGGCGACGAUCCCUAGCUGGUCUGAGAGGAUGACCAGCCACACUGGAACUGAGACACGGUCCAGACUCCUACGGGAGGCAGCAGUGGGGAAUAUUGCACAAUGGGCGCAAGCCUGAUGCAGCCAUGCCGCGUGUAUGAAGAAGGCCUUCGGGUUGUAAAGUACUUUCAGCGGGGAGGAAGGGAGUAAAGUUAAUACCUUUGCUCAUUGACGUUACCCGCAGAAGAAGCACCGG